AACCUGGUUGAUCCUGCCAGUAGUAUAUGCUUAACUCAGAGAUUAAGCCAUGCAUGUCUAAGUAUAAGUAAUAUUCGGCGAGACUGCGAAUGGUUCAUUAAAACAGUUAUAGUUUAUAUGGUCAUGUUUUUACAUGGAUAACCGUGGGAAACCAGAGCUAAUACAUGCUUAAAGGCCUUCGGGUUGUAUUUAUUAGUUUAAGCCAAUCGCAUUGCGGUUGUGACGAUUCAUAAUAACUGUUCGAAACGCAUCGAUAUGCGUUAGAUCACUCAAGUUUCUGCCCUAUCAUAUUUGAUGGUAGUUUAUUGGACUACCAUGAUUAUCACGGGUAACAGAGAAUUAGGGUUCGAUUCUGGAAAGUCAGCUUGAGAGACGGUCUGACAUUACUACGGUUAGCAGCAGGCGCGUAAAUUACCCAAUCUUGACUCAGGGAGGUAGUUAUGAGUAAUAACGGACCGGAAACACUGUUUCUAGUAUCGCAAUGGAUGUAAUCUAGACCAUUAUGUGAAAUCAAUUGGAGGGCAAGUCUGGUGCCAGCAGCCGCGGUAAUUCCAGCUCCAAUAGCGUAUUUUAAUGUUGCUGCAGUUAAAAAGCUCGUAGUUGAACCUCGGACCCAGAAACUUUAAGUUCGCUUAAUUCCAUUCUGAGGUCCUCCGAACGGGGCCUGUUUCGUGGUUAACCCCUCGAUCAGUUUAGCCGUUCACUUUACUUUGAAGAAAAUUGAGUGUUUCAGGCAGGCUUCGCUUGAAAAAUACAGCAUGGAAUAAUGGAAUAGGACUGUUUCUAUUUGAUUGGUUAUUAGAAGCAGUAAUGAUUAACAGGAACAGUUGGGGGCAUUUGUAUUAAGUAGUCAGAGGUGAAAUUCUUGGAUUUACUUAGGACAAACUAAUGCGAAAGCAUUUGCCAAGGAUGUUUUCAUUAAUCAAGAACGAAAGUUAGGGGAUCAAAGACGAUUAGAUACCGUCCUAGUCCUAACUAUAAACUAUGCCGACUAAGGAUUAUCAGGGCUUAUGUUCUGGUAGCACUUAAGGAGAAAUCAAAGUCUUUGGGUUCUUGGGGGAGUAUGGUCGCAAGGCUGAAACUUAAAGGAAUUGACGGAAGGGCACCACCAGGAGUGGAUCCUGCGGCUUAAUUUGAUUCAACACGGGGAAACUUACCAGGGCAAGACCUUGAGAGGAUUGACAGAUUGAAAGUUCUUUCUUGAUUAGAGGGAAAGUGGUGCAUGGCCGUUCUUAGUUGGUGUCUUGAGAUGUCAGGUUAAUUCCCUUAACGAACGAGACCUUAACUUGCUAACUAGAGAUAGUUAAAACUUAGCUAUUUUCUUCUUAGAAGGACUAUAAGUGUAAGCUUAUGGAGGUUUGAGGCAAUAACAGGUCCGUGAUGCCCUUAGAUGUCCUGGGCCGCACGCGCGAUACACUGACAAACGCAACAAGUUUUAUCCCAACCCGAAUGGGCUUAGGUAAUCUUUAUAGUAUUUGUCGUGCUGGGGAUCGAUCUUUGCAAUUAUGGAUCGUGAACGAGGAAUUCCUAGUAGGCAUAAGUCAUCAGCUUGUGCCGAUUACGUCCCUGCCCUUUGUACACACCGCCCGUCGCUCCUACCGAUUUUGAGUAAUCCGGUGAACCCCCUGGAGUGCUGUUCCCCUGGAGUGGCACGAAGUCGUGUGAACCUUAUUACUUAGAGGAAGGAGAAGUCGUAACAAGGUAUUCGUAGAUGAAUCUGCGGAUGGAUCA
rnacentral:rRNA from 1 species